rnacentral:rRNA from 1 species
UAAGUUAAUAAGGGCGCACGGUGGAUGCCUUGGCACUAGGAGCCGACGAAGGACGUGACAAACGACGAUAUGCCUUGGGUAGCUGUAAGUAAGCGAUGAUCCAGGGAUUUCCGAAUGGGGGAACCCAACAGGUAAUACCUGUUACCUACAUCUGUUAAGGAUGUGAGGAGGAAGACGCAGUGAACUGAAACAUCUAAGUAGCUGCAGGAAGAGAAAGCAAAAGCGAUUGCCUUAGUAGCGGCGAGCGAAACGGCAGAAGGGCAAACCGAAGAGUUUACUCUUCGGGGUUGUAGGACUGCAAUGUGGACUCAAAGAUUAUAGAAGAAUGAUUUGGGAAGAUCAGCCAAAGAGAGUAAUAGCCUCGUAUUUAAAAUAGUCUUUGUACUUAGCAGUAUCCUGAGUACGGCGGGACACGUGAAAUCCCGUCGGAAUCUGGGAGGACCAUCUCCCAACCCUAAAUACUCCCUAGUGACCGAUAGUGAACCAGUACCGUGAGGGAAAGGUGAAAAGCACCCCGGGAGGGGAGUGAAAUAGAACCUGAAACCGUGUGCCUACAACAAGUUCGAGCCCGUUAAUGGGUGAGAGCGUGCCUUUUGUAGAAUGAACCGGCGAGUUACGUUAUGAUGCGAGGUUAAGUUGAAGAGACGGAGCCGUAGGGAAACCGAGUCUGAAUAGGGCGCCUUAGUAUCAUGACGUAGACCCGAAACCAUGUGACCUACCCAUGAGCAGGUUGAAGGUGCGGUAAGACGCACUGGAGGACCGAACCAGGGCACGUUGAAAAGUGCUUGGAUGACUUGUGGGUAGCGGAGAAAUUCCAAACGAACUUGGAGAUAGCUGGUUCUCUCCGAAAUAGCUUUAGGGCUAGCGUCGACAUUAGAGAUUCUUGGAGGUAGAGCACUGUUUGGGUGAGGGGUCCAUCCCGGAUUACCAAUCUCAGAUAAACUCCGAAUGCCAAUGAAUUAUGGUCGGCAGUCAGACUGCGAGUGCUAAGAUCCGUAGUCGAAAGGGAAACAGCCCAGACCACCAGCUAAGGUCCCAAAAUAAUUGUUAAGUGGAAAAGGAUGUGGGGUUGCACAGACAACUAGGAUGUUAGCUUAGAAGCAGCUAUUCAUUCAAAGAGUGCGUAAUAGCUCACUAGUCGAGUGACCCUGCGCCGAAAAUGUACCGGGGCUAAAACAAUUUACCGAAGCUGUGGAUACCUUUAUAGGUAUGGUAGGAGAGCGUUCUAUGUGUGAUGAAGGUAUACCGUGAGGAGUGCUGGAACGCAUAGAAGUGAGAAUGCCGGUAUGAGUAGCGAAAGACAGGUGAGAAUCCUGUCCACCGUAAGACUAAGGUUUCCAGGGGAAGGCUCGUCCGCCCUGGGUUAGUCGGGACCUAAGGAGAGACCGAAAGGUGUAUCCGAUGGACAACAGGUUGAUAUUCCUGUACUAGAGUAUGUAGUGAUGGAGGGACGCAGUAGGCUAACUAAAGCAGACGAUUGGAAGAGUCUGUCUAAGCAGUGAGGUGUGAAUUGAGUCAAAUGCUUAAUUCUAUAACAUUGAGCUGUGAUGGGGAGCGAAGUUUAGUAGCGAAGUUAGUGACGUCACACUGCCAAGAAAAGCUUCUAGCGUUUAAACAUACUCUACCCGUACCGCAAACCGACACAGGUAGUCGAGGCGAGUAGCCUCAGGUGAGCGAGAGAACUCUCGUUAAGGAACUCGGCAAAAUGACCCCGUAACUUCGGGAGAAGGGGUGCUGACUUAAAGUCAGCCGCAGUGAAUAGGCCCAAGCAACUGUUUAUCAAAAACACAGCUCUCUGCUAAAUCGUAAGAUGAUGUAUAGGGGGUGACGCCUGCCCGGUGCUGGAAGGUUAAGAGGAGUGCUUAGCGUAAGCGAAGGUAUGAAUUGAAGCCCCAGUAAACGGCGGCCGUAACUAUAACGGUCCUAAGGUAGCGAAAUUCCUUGUCGGGUAAGUUCCGACCCGCACGAAAGGCGUAAUGAUUUGGGCACUGUCUCAACGAGAGACUCGGUGAAAUUUUAGUACCUGUGAAGAUGCAGGUUACCCGCGACAGGACGGAAAGACCCCAUGGAGCUUUACUGCAGUUUGAUAUUGAGUGUCUGUACCACAUGUACAGGAUAGGUAGGAGUCUAAGAGAUCGGGACGCCAGUUUCGAAGGAGACGCUGUUGGGAUACUACCCUUGUGUUAUGGCCACUCUAACCCAGAUAGGUGAUCCCUAUCGGAGACAGUGUCUGACGGGCAGUUUGACUGGGGCGGUCGCCUCCGUAAAAGGUACGGAGGCGCCCAAAGGUUCCCUCAGAAUGGUUGGAAAUCAUUCGCAGAGUGUAAAGGUAUAAGGGAGCUUGACUGCGAGAGCUACAACUCGAGCAGGGACGAAAGUCGGGCUUAGUGAUCCGGUGGUUCCGUAUGGAAGGGCCAUCGCUCAACGGAUAAAAGCUACCCUGGGGAUAACAGGCUUAUCUCCCCCAAGAGUUCACAUCGACGGGGAGGUUUGGCACCUCGAUGUCGGCUCGUCGCAUCCUGGGGCUGUAGUCGGUCCCAAGGGUUGGGCUGUUCGCCCAUUAAAGCGGCACGCGAGCUGGGUUCAGAACGUCGUGAGACAGUUCGGUCCCUAUCCGUCGCGGGCGUAGGAAAUUUGAGAGGAUCUGCUCCUAGUACGAGAGGACCAGAGUGGACUUACCGCUGGUGUACCAGUUGUCUUGCCAAAGGCAUCGCUGGGUAGCUAUGUAGGGAAGGGAUAAACGCUGAAAGCAUCUAAGUGUGAAACCCACCUCAAGAUGAGAUUUCCCAUGAUUAUAUAUCAGUAAGAGCCCUGAGAGAUGAUCAGGUAGAUAGGUUAGAAGUGGAAGUGUGGCGACACAUGUAGCGGACUAAUACUAAUAGCUCGAGGACUUAUCCA